AUUAUUAAAAACUUGUUAAUUCUUACUAAUAUAACUUAAUUUCAAAGCUUCUUAGUUAUCUAUUAUUAUUACUUAUAUUUUACCUUUUUCUUACUUUACUGCUUUGGUAACGAUAUUAAACGGAUUAUAACAAGUAUCGUAUUUAUAAAAAUAAUAGAUCUCCUACAUUUAAUCAAGCAAAAUAAACCGGAUUUUCCCAAUUUUAUUGAUCAGUGACGCUUUGUACUAUGUAAAGAGUCAAAAAGUAUCGAACAGAGUUUCACAGUCGGUCUUAACAUGAUCGCGCUUUUAGACCUUGCAAUACUCAGUAGAUAAGCAUGAAGUCGUAGUUAGUUAACACACUAUCUCGGUACCAGUCUAUUCAGUGGGUUUUCUUACACAGACUCAGGCAAACGGUUCCAAUCCCUCAUGAUGACCAUGAGGAAGGAUAAAGCCUAUCACUUCGUUCGGAUGCGAGGAAGGUCAAAACAGAAAGGAUGAAGAAGUUUAAUCAUUCGAAGGUCAGUAAAGAAGAUUGGUCGUCCGAUGGUAAAAUGAGGAUUGAAGAAUAAAAUUGUGUAAUUCCUCUGCAAGCUCUUGAAAGUGUUUGGUAUAAUUUAUUCGAAACCUGGAUAUUUCUCAGCUUUCAACUCAAAGAAACGUUCAAAGUUUUAAGGUUAUAAGAUGCGUCAAGACCUAAUAAUCGAAGGUGAUCGGAGUAUUCACAGCAUACAUUCCGCAAAGUUGGAGUUAAGUUCUGGUGUUAUUUAUUCCUUUAUAUGUGCAUAUUAAAUGUUAUCCAUAUUCUAAAA